GCGGAUGUGGAGAAAUUGGUAAACUCGCAGCCUUGAGGUGGCUGUGCCUUCGGGCUUGGGGGUUCAACUCCCCCCAUCCGCA
rfam:Candidatus Kuenenbacteria bacterium CG2_30_39_24 cg2_3.0_scaffold_707_c, whole genome shotgun sequence.